UGCAAGUUUUCAAAAUAAAACUCAGAGCUUAAUUGUAUGACACCCUCAAGUCUCUUAUUAUGUAGUAUUUAUGGAUCUCACUGAGGCAUUAACAAGGUUAUGCCUUCCUACAACUAAGGAUAUAUAUAGUGGAGCUUAUAGGAGUGGCAAUAACAAGGAUGAGCAUACUUGCAAUUCAUAUAUUGUAAAGUCAAACAAUGGAUCCACAGAGAAUCAAGGCAUACAAUCAAAUCAAGAUAUACGUGUGUAUGGAAUAUAGUAGAUAGGUGUAUAUAUAGUAUUUAGUGGCUAAUCUUAAUUCUACUUUUGCUCUUGAAAAUUACUCCCUCGUUAGAACUUUUCACAGGAAAACAUGGGCUAUCUUUAUUCUUUCUUUCUUUUUUUAUAUAUCUGAGAGGCGGGCAUCUAUGUACACAUUGUUUUAAUUGUUGGGACACUUGUCCAUCUUUUACUCCCCUCUUUUUUUCUUUUUUUAAAUACAUUUGCAUAGCCACAGGCAUCCUUUGAAUAUAAAUAAUCGGAGAGAUAAUGAUAAGAACUUAGAGCAAUUAAAUGGGGGCUGUCCUAUAGGGUAUAUUUUUGGGUGUUUACUCCUAGUGUAGGAGAAAAAACAUUUUUAAGGUGGAUCUAGAUGAAAAUGGAAAAUAACUACGCUUAUUCUCAGAGUAGGAGCAAUGCAUAUGUAGGUGGAGUGCGUAAGUGAUCUUAAUUUUAAAAGCAUGACAAGACUCUCAUUAGGUAUACUCCAAAGGUUGACUAAACUCAAUGUAAAGCAAGCAGCAUGAAUUCUCAAAGGUUUUCCAAACUUAAAUGUAUCAUAUAUGGCUUUGGUAGGAAUUUAAACUUUAUCAUACAAGAGCUCAUCAUGUAAGAUUUUGGGUUUUUGAAAAUAAAUCUCCAAAACUUAGUAAUGCUAGGAGUAAGAUAAAUACCAGCUUAGACCUUCAUGUAUUAAUCAGUUACCUAGACUUAGCUCAAGCAUAUGCCUCCACAAAUUUCAGGUUCAGAGUAAAUUCUUAUAUUAAAGUGGUCAUAUCCAAAACUCAGGAUAAUUCAUAGUUGAAAGCUAGGCACUUGAAAGGAAUUACUCUAGAGCAACUAUUCAUCAUCUCCAAGACAAAAUUUUAAUAUUCUCUAAUUUUUAUUUGACUCUAAACUAGACUGACUGUAGACACACUCUGAUGAUCACACCUUAAUAUAUAGAUAAGUAUUUUGCUUGGUUGUUAUUUAUUUCUAUUGGACUCAGAAGACUCUAAAGAUAUGGACCUUCAUGUGCCCUUAUAUUUUUGGUAUUUUUAUAAUUUCUUAUGAUACUAUCAUGAACCUUCAUGUGCUCACAUAUUUUUGGUAUUUUAUGACUAUAUUAAAUAGACUCGAUAAUCGCCUAGGUAUAGUUACCUGAUAACUAGGGGAUGCUCCUCCCCCAAGCUAGAUGUUUGCAAUAGUUGGUGUUGAUGAUCUUAAGAGUGACCUAACCGGCAGCGCUCCAGGUGGGUGCCACUAAUAGACUCUCUCCUUGUCAUAAUGUUGUUCCUGCAAAAUUACACUCCAAAAAGGAAAACCAAAACCCGUGGCAGGCAAAACAGGUUAACCGUGGAGGGCAAGGCAACCGCCAC
rnacentral:lncRNA from 1 species